rnacentral:misc_RNA from 1 species
AAUUACGCGUUAGGGAUAGAACGGUUUGUUUGAGCUCUUUUUAACGUUUUUUUUAACGUUAAAAAAGCGAGUAGUGAUAGCCCGACCUGAA